rnacentral:rRNA from 1 species
GAUAAACGCUGGCGGCGUGCCUAAUACAUGCGAGUCGAGCGAACGGACGAGAAGCUUGCUUCUCUGAUGUUAGCGGCGGACGGGUGAGUAACACGUGGAUAACCUACCUAUAAGACUGGGAUAACUUCGGGAAACCGGAGCUAAUACCGGAUAAUAUUUUGAACCGCAUGGUUCAAAAGUGAAAGACGGUCUUGCUGUCACUUAUAGAUGGAUCCGCGCUGCAUUAGCUAGUUGGUAAGGUAACGGCUUACCAAGGCAACGAUGCAUAGCCGACCUGAGAGGGUGAUCGGCCACACUGGAACUGAGACACGGUCCAGACUCCUACGGGAGGCAGCAGUAGGGAAUCUUCCGCAAUGGGCGAAAGCCUGACGGAGCAACGCCGCGUGAGUGAUGAAGGUCUUCGGAUCGUAAAACUCUGUUAUUAGGGAAGAACAUAUGUGUAAGUAACUGUGCACAUCUUGACGGUACCUAAUCAGAAAGCCACGGCUAACUACGUGCCAGCAGCCGCGGUAAUACGUAGGUGGCAAGCGUUAUCCGGAAUUAUUGGGCGUAAAGCGCGCGUAGGCGGUUUUUUAAGUCUGAUGUGAAAGCCCACGGCUCACCGUGGAGGGUCAUUGGAAACUGGAAAACUUGAGUGCAGAAGAGGAAAGUGGAAUUCCAUGUGUAGCGGUGAAAUGCGCAGAGAUAUGGAGGAACACCAGUGGCGAAGGCGACUUUCUGGUCUGUAACUGACGCUGAUGUGCGAAAGCGUGGGGAUCAAACAGGAUUAGAUACCCUGGUAGUCCACGCCGUAAACGAUGAGUGCUAAGUGUUAGGGGGUUUCCGCCCCUUAGUGCUGCAGCUAACGCAUUAAGCACUCCGCCUGGGGAGUACGACCGCAAGGUUGAAACUCAAAGGAAUUGACGGGGACCCGCACAAGCGGUGGAGCAUGUGGUUUAAUUCGAAGCAACGCGAAGAACCUUACCAAAUCUUGACAUCCUUUGACAACUCUAGAGAUAGAGCCUUCCCCUUCGGGGGACAAAGUGACAGGUGGUGCAUGGUUGUCGUCAGCUCGUGUCGUGAGAUGUUGGGUUAAGUCCCGCAACGAGCGCAACCCUUAAGCUUAGUUGCCAUCAUUAAGUUGGGCACUCUAAGUUGACUGCCGGUGACAAACCGGAGGAAGGUGGGGAUGACGUCAAAUCAUCAUGCCCCUUAUGAUUUGGGCUACACACGUGCUACAAUGGACAAUACAAAGGGCAGCGAAACCGCGAGGUCAAGCAAAUCCCAUAAAGUUGUUCUCAGUUCGGAUUGUAGUCUGCAACUCGACUACAUGAAGCUGGAAUCGCUAGUAAUCGUAGAUCAGCAUGCUACGGUGAAUACGUUCCCGGGUCU